rfam:Oryza nivara chromosome 5, whole genome shotgun sequence.
UAUAAGUGCAACCAUAAGGUUUUUUUUAUCUAACUUUGAUCUUCCGUUUUAUUUAUAAUUUUUUUAUGAUUAGGAUUUUUGUUGUUAUUAGAUGAUAAAAUAUGAAUAAUACUUUAUGCGUGACUUUUAUUUUUAAAUUUUUUAAAAUAAGACGGAUGAGUUAAGCAUGGAAAAUUAUAGCUGAACUUGAA